rnacentral:rRNA from 1 species
AUUGAACGCUGGCGGCAUGCCUUACACAUGCAAGUCGAACGGCAGCACGGGUGCUUGCACCUGGUGGCGAGUGGCGAACGGGUGAGUAAUACAUCGGAACAUGUCCUGUAGUGGGGGAUAGCCCGGCGAAAGCCGGAUUAAUACCGCAUACGAUCCACGGAUGAAAGCGGGGGACCUUCGGGCCUCGCGCUAUAGGGUUGGCCGAUGGCUGAUUAGCUAGUUGGUGGGGUAAAGGCCUACCAAGGCGACGAUCAGUAGCUGGUCUGAGAGGACGACCAGCCACACUGGGACUGAGACACGGCCCAGACUCCUACGGGAGGCAGCAGUGGGGAAUUUUGGACAAUGGGCGAAAGCCUGAUCCAGCAGUGCCGCGUGUGUGAAGAAGGCCUUCGGGUUGUAAAGCACUUUUGUCCGGAAAGAAAUCCUUGACUCUAAUACAGUCGGGGGAUGACGGUACCGGAAGAAUAAGCACCGGCUAACUACGUG